AUUGAACGCUGGCGGCAGGCCUAACACAUGCAAGUCGAGCGGAUGAAGGGAGCUUGCUCCUGGAUUCAGCGGCGGACCGGUGAGUAAUGCCUAGGAAUCUGCCUGGUAGUGGGGGAUAACGUCCGGAAACGGGCGCUAAUACCGCAUACGUCCUGAGGGAGAAAGUGGGGGAUUUUCGGACCUCACGCUAUCAGAUGAGCCUAGGUCGGAUUAGCUAGUUGGUGGGGUAAAGGCCUACCAAGGCGACGAUCCGUAACUGGUCUGAGAGGAUGAUCAGUCACACUGGAACUGAGACACGGUCCAGACUCCUACGGGAGGCAGCAGUGGGGAAUAUUGGACAAUGGGCGAAAGCCUGAUCCAGCCAUGCCGCGUGUGUGAAGAAGGUCUUCGGAUUGUAAAGCACUUUAAGUUGGGAGGAAGGGCAGUAAGUUAAUACCUUGCUGUUUUGACGUUACCAACAGAAUAAGCACCGGCUAACUUCGUG
rnacentral:rRNA from 1 species